rnacentral:rRNA from 1 species
GUGGGGAAUAUUGGGCAAUGGAUGCAAGUCUGACCCAGCCAUGCCGCGUGGAGGAAGAAGGUCCUCUGGAUUGUAAACUCCUUUUUUGGGGGAAGAAUAGUUCUCUUGCGAGGGAAUGUGACGGUACCCUAAGAAUAAGCCACGGCUAACUACGUGCCAGCAGCCGCGGUAAUACGUAGGUGGCAAGCGUUGUCCGGAUUUAUUGGGUUUAAAGGGUGCGUAGGUGGUUUGAUAAGUCAGUGGUGAAAGCUGGUUGCUCAACAAUCAAGUUGCCAUUGAUACUGUCGGACUUGAGAGAAGUGGAGGUUCAUGGAAUGGAUGGUGUAGCGGUGAAAUGCAUAGAUAUCAUCCAGAACGUCGAUUGCGAAGGCAGUGGGCUGUACUUUAUCUGACACUGAGGCACGAAAGUGUGGGGAUCAAACAGGAUUAGAUACCCGAGUAGUCC